rnacentral:rRNA from 1 species
UAGGGAAUUUUCGUCAAUGGGGGAAACCCUGAACGAGCAAUGCCGCGUGAGUGAAGAAGGAUUUCGGUCUGUAAAGCUCUGUUGUAAAGGAAGAACGACCACAAUAGGGAAUGAUUGUGGAGUGACGGUACUUUACCAGAAAGCCACGGCUAACUACGUGCCAGCAGCCGCGGUAAUACGUAGGUGGCAAGCGUUGUUCGGAAUUACUGGGCGUAAAGCGCACGCAGGCGGCGUGACGCGUCUGAAGUGAAAUCCCCGGGCUCAACCUGGGAACUGCUUUUGAAACGGUCAUGCUUGAAUCAUGGAGAGGGUAGCGGAAUUCCGAGUGUAGAGGUGAAAUUCGUAGAUAUUCGGAAGAACACCGGUGGCGAAGGCGGCUACCUGGCCAUGUAUUGACGCUCAGGUGCGAAAGCGUGGGGAGCAAACA